rnacentral:rRNA from 1 species
CCUACGGGAGGCAGCAGUGAGGAAUAUUGGUCAAUGGACGAGAGUCUGAACCAGCCAAGUAGCGUGAAGGAUGACUGCCCUAUGGGUUGUAAACUUCUUUUAUAUGGGAAUAAAAUGCUCCACGUGUGGGAUUUUGUAUGUACCAUAUGAAUAAGGAUCGGCUAAAUCCGUGCCAGCAGCCGCGGUAAUACGGAGGAUCGGAGCGUUUUCCGGAUUUAUUGGGGUUAACGGGAGCGUAGGUGGAAUGGUAAGUCCGUUGUGAAAGUUUGCGGCUCAACCGUAAGAUUGCAGUUGAAACUGGCAGUCUUGAGUACAGGAGAGGUGUGCGGAAUGCGUGGUGUAGCGGUGAAAUGCUUAGAUAUCACGAAGAACUCCGAUUGCGAAGGCAGCUCACUGGACUGCAACUGACACUGAGGCUCGAAAGUGUGGGUAUCAAACAGGAUUAGAUACCCGGGUAGUC